rnacentral:rRNA from 1 species
AGUGAACGCUGGCGGUAGGCCUAACGCAUGCAAGUCGAACGGCAGCACAGUAAGAGCUUGCUCUUACGGGUGGCGAGUGGCGGACGGGUGAGGAAUACAUCGGAAUCUACUUUUUCGUGGGGGAUAACGUAGGGAAACUUACGCUAAUACCGCAUACGACCUACGGGUGAAAGCAGGGGAUCUUCGGACCUUGCGCGAUUGAAUGAGCCGAUGUCGGAUUAGCUAGUUGGCGGGGUAAAGGCCCACCAAGGCGACGAUCCGUAGCUGGUCUGAGAGGAUGAUCAGCCACACUGGGACUGAGACACGGUCCAGACUCCUACGGGAGGCAGCAGUGGGGAAUAUUGGACAAUGGGCGCAAGCCUGAUCCAGCCAUACCGCGUGGGUGAAGAAGGCCUUCGGGUUGUAAAGCCCUUUUGUUGGGAAAGAAAAGCAGCAGGUUAAUACCCCGCUGUUCUGACGGUACCCAAAGAAUAAGCACCGGCUAACUUCGUG